GGUACAAAUGAGAGAUUGUAUGAUAACUGGUGCAAAUGGUACAACUGAAAUAUAAUAGUACAACUGGUACAUCUAUAUAUAAAUAUGAACAAUUGGUACAAAUGGUACAACUGAAAUAUAAUAGUACAAUUGAAACAACUAGUACAACUAACAUAUGAAUAGGGACAACUAGACAACUGGUACAACUGAUACAUAAAUAGGGACAACUAGACACUGAUACAUAAAUAGGGACAACUAGACAACUGGUACAACUGAUACAUAAUUAUAAACCCUAGCGCCAUCAUCGUCUCUUCUUGCUUUGUUCAUUGUCCACCGCCGCCGAUUCUCUUCCGCCACCAAUUCUCCUCCACCACCGAUUCUCCUCCACCACCGAUUCUAAGCCGAUUUGGAGAAAUCUAGAUCGGGAUUAUUGUUAAUCUCAGAUCUGUGAGAAAAACGAAGAUCUAUGGAUCUAGAAUGAGAAGAUCGAAGAGAGGAAAGAAAGAUCCAUGGAGAAAAAGAGAUUUAGAGUUUUGUUGAUGGUUAGAAGAGGAAGAAGAGAUAGAUUUCGAAAAAUCUAGAAGAAGAAGAAGAAGAAGAAGAAGAAAGAGAUGAAGGAGGAGAAAAGUGAAAGAUUUCGAAAAAUCUAGAAGAAGAAGAAGAAGAAAAAGAAGGAGAUGAAGGAGAAAGAGAUGAAGGAGAAGGAGGAGAGAAGCGUGAAAGUGGAAGAGAAGAAGAAGAGAAAAUAAUUAUGUUGUUAGGUUGGCAAUGGCAGGGUACGUAAAUACUGAAUUAGGGUAAGGGUUUUUUGACAUUUACUACAGAUUUUAUAUUAAAAGAAAAAUAAAAAAUAUAAUAAAAAAUAGGAGUGGCAUAAACGAUUAAAAUUCUUGAGAAAGUGGCAUUAGUGACAAAAAUUCUGAGUUACAGUACCCUGUCUGUAACAUGUCAGAAUGGCUGUGUAAUUACGUAUAUGUCCUUUGUAACACGCUUUUUUUUCGAAUUACAUGUGAUAACAUAAUAUAUCUCUUUUUAUCAUGUAUUUUUCUCGUACUACAUGUUAUUUAUAAAGAACACAUAGUAUUUUUCGAAAAAAACAUUAUAUUCAGUGUAAUAUCUGUCUUUAUCAUGUUAUUUUGUAAUAAUACACGUGUUUUAUUAAGAUCACAUGUGAAUAUCUGUCUUUAUCAUGUUAUUUUGUAAUAAAACACAUGUUUUAUUAAGAUCACAUGUGAUUUCUUUUUUAAAAAGAUGAUUAUUUUUUAGUAUUACACGAUUUUUUUUAAGAUUACAUGUGAUUUCUUUUAAAAAGUUACUAUUCAGAUUAAAUUUUCCAUGUCAAUGUUUUUUCUUAAAAUAACACUACGUAACAAUGUUUUUUUCUUAAAAAUUCACUAUGUUUUUUAAAAUAUCAUGUCUUUUAGUUAAAUAUAACAUGCGAAAUUUAAAUGUUACAUGCUAUUUUGAAAAAUUUCACGAAACUGUCUUAUUUUUUUAUAUCCAUCGACAAAGUUCUUGUAAUUACUAUAACUUACAAGGAUAAAUUCGUAUUUAUCAUACCUCUAUCCCACAAGAAAAAGAGUUAGUAUCUAAAUAAAACUGACACAUCGUUAGUUUCUUAAUUUUUGUGUAGAAUUUGGCUAUUUGCUAAUAUUUCUUUUAUUUUUAUUUCCCUUAAAUAUAAAUAAAUUUAAAAAGUAAUUCAAAAGUUUAAAAUUAAAAGAAGACGUUGUGAUUUGUAAUAACCGCACUUUUUUUUCUUUUCUUUCUUCUCUUGCUCUUAAAGAAAAUUUUCUCUUGCUCGUCGCAAUCGCCGUCUCUCUCAGCCUUUUCUUCCACAAGAUGAAACCGGUUUUGUUAAAGAAGAAGGUGAAGGGGAGUCGAAGCGAUCGGACGAAGAAGGUGGGAGUGGUGCUCUGCGAUUUCUGCGGCAGCAAGAGGUAGAUCUCACAAUCUAGGGUUCCUCUGUUUUCUAGGGUUAGCUAUUUACAGGGCAGUUAGAUCUCAGAAUCUGACUAAAUAGAUUAUCCUCUAGGUUCUAAGCAUGAUUCUCCUCCAGUCCUCUGCUUGUAAAGAUCAAACCAACAGUUUAACCUAAAACCUGACUUGUUCGAUCUAUUUCCAGACACGAACACAAACAAGGACAUGAUGAUGAUGAUGAUUCACUGGUUUGUAUAUAUCCUCUACUCUUUUUAAGUCGGGAACCUUUUUAUAUUUAUCUCACAUAAUUGUUCUUACCCUACCUAGUCUAUGGAGAGCGAGCUCAAGAUGUUACGGCUCAUUCAUUCACUUGUUGUUGUUUCUUUCCACUGCUUCUCAUCAUGUUAGCUCUGAUCCCCUCCCAGGAGAAUGAGUGGUAAGGAUUUAGAAGGUCUGAGUUUCGCUGAGUUUAAAAAACUGAAAACCCAUCUGGAGGAAUCCACGCUCGUUGUGGAAGAGGAGAUGUCAAAGCGGCAAGUCAUUGUGGAAGAGGAUAUGUCAAAGCGGCCUCACCUGCUCAAAAACAAGAGGGAGGGAGGGGAUGUUGAAGCUAUGAUGACAAGCUCUAGAGAGAAACAGGAUGAUGCACAGUCGCGACUGCAGGUAGCAUACGAGAGGCAACGAGCUGAAUCCCCGCAGAGCGAGUUGGAGAGAUUAUGGCUGUGGAAGGAGUAAUAAAACUUUUCACUUUGGUUGCUCGCUCACAGGAGAAUGAGUUGUAGAGGGCUGGGCGAUAUGACUUUCUCCGAGCUGUGUCUACUGCAAACUCAAAUGUGGCAGGGAUUGAUUCGAAUGAUGUCUUUUUCUCCCCUCUGAUUAAUCCAUUUUUAGUUUGACUUCAUUUUUUUGUUAUUUUCGUCUCCCUUGUCUAGUUUCGGACUCAAGUCUGUCUCUUUAGUUUGAUUAUGUCGGAUUUUGUUAUAAUCUUUUCAUCUAUGGAUAGUUUAACUCUGAACCGUAUAAUGUCAAUUACACACAAGUAAAAAUUAAUCUGGCUCAUCACAAAGUCAAUGCUCCGUUGACUUAUCUACUUCCUUCUUCUCUUCUUGCUUUCCAUGUCUUAUCAAAUUAUUAAGUCCGGCAUGAAAUGGAAAAAUCUGACAAAUGGUUUCUGUUAAAAUACAAUCAUAAUGGACAUAGCCUAACCGUAGAAAGUUCGAAAAUCCGCAUUGGGAUUUGGCUUCUUGAAUACAAAGUGAAGUGAACAAUAGCACCACAAGUCAACGUUUUUACCUGGAGGCAAAACUAGUAAAACAUUCUUGCAGAACAAUGAGCAGGACGCCGAGAACCCCUUGUGCAAAGAGAUGUAGUACUAUUCAGAACGAAUCAUUGCCACUGACUAGUAGUAUCACUCGUGGAGAAUGUGGUGAGGAAGAGUGCAGCAUAGGCCUGGGCAAAAUAACCGGAACCGAAAAUCCCGAAAAAUAUCCGAACCGAAUCCGAACCGAUUUUUAAAAAUACCCGAAUGGAUCCUAGACCUCCUACCUGAACCGAACCCGAACCGAAUCCAAUACCCGUAGGUACCCGAAUACAAAUAUACACCUAAAUAUAUUAGUUAUAUUUAUACUUAUAAUAUCCGAAAUACCUAAAAUUACAAUCAUAAAUCCGAAUAUACUAGGUAUUUUUGAGUAAUUCGGAUACAUUUGAAUAUAUUUGGUUAAAAAGUAACUAAUAAUUUAGUUUUCUUUUGGGUAAUUUUAGUAUUUUUAGACAUUUCUGGUUAUAUUUGGGCAAAGAGUAACCAAUGUAUUUUUGAGAAAUCGGGUAUUUCGGUUAGAUUUGGGUAUAUACGAGUAAAAAAUCCGAACCCGACCCGAACCCAAAAAUUUUUUGGGUAUUUUUGGUUAUUUUCGGGUAUUUUGCUUUUUUAUUAAAACACCCGAACCGACCCGAACCCGAACCAAACCAGAACCGAAUUUUUAGAAUACCCGAAUGGGUCUCGACCCCCUAUCCGAAUAGAUCCGAUACCCAAAAAAAAGAACCGAACCCGAACGGAUACCCAAAUGCCCAGGUCCAGCACAUGCUCAGAGAAGGUAUUAAAUCUGCAAGGAAAACAGUAUUGCAGAGAUAUUUUAUCCGUUAAAGUGUACAUGGUGAUUUUCCUGAUUUGUAGCAGCAACAUGUGUCAUCCUUGAAAGAGAACAACGUCUACGUAAACCAUGUGACAAAGAAAACGGAGAGAGAAAUCACAGAACCUAAGCAAGCACAACCAGCAGCUGAAGAUGCAGUAUGGAAGUUGUUAUGAGAAGCAAUAUGUAGAUGCAGUUUCUCCCAAUCUUUCCUCGCCAUCUUGACACCCUUUACUUUGUCGAAUUUCCCUCAAGCAGCUCUGGUACCUACUUCCAGAAAGCGAGAUAUCAUAUACUAGCAUGAAACCAAAAAUACCAUCAACAAGUAAAUAAGGCCAUUAUAAUGAGACCAAACACCCAUUUGUGUUUGGCCCACUGUUUGCCUACAACAAAAUUAGAUUGAGAGCCAUAUAACAUUAGUGAUCAAAGUCAUGAGUAAUACAAAAUUUACCUCAUGAAUAAAGAAAAAAACAAUGGGAACUGUUUCAAUAUAUCCACUGCACUGAAAGAAGUUAAACAAAUUUAUAACUCAGAUUCAUAAAGCCAAUUCCAUACCGUGGAGAGCAAUCCUGGCCCAGUAUGUUUGGCAGUAAAAUUUUCAUCCUCAAACUUGUCCACUACCAUCAUUCUGCAGAGAAUAUUUAACAUAUUAGGUAUCCAGUAAGAAGAGAAGAAAAGAAGAGAUACAGAAAGAACACAAACAAGAGAAAAAAAGCCCAGAGCCAGUUGAGAACCAACAGAACUAAUUACUUGUGAGGAUUAUUUUAGAUGUAAAGGGUACCGACCUUUAGAAAAUCACCACUAUGAAUCAUAAAAUCCUUGAUGAAACUGACAACAAAAGGCUUUGCUACAGGAAAGUGAACCACUGAUUUGCUAUUGUAGCUUUAACACCAAACAAAAUUUGGUUUCUUUCAGGAAAGGUUUUUUACUUAAACACCAAAUAGAAAGAAAAUCUAACAAAUUGUUUUUGCUAAAAUACAAAUCAUAGCUUCUAUCAUAGUUUUUUUAGUUCGGCACUAAUAUGCUUUCACUACAUUCCCCCUUAAGCAGAAAAGUUCUUUAAGGAGUGUUUUGGCCUUUUGGGUGAGGGUUAAAACAUUUCACACCGCCCUGCACUCCGUAAGCUUAGGCCGGUUAUUGGGUUUGGUAGCCACAUUCUCAAUCUUUUGCAUCACCAAUAAAUCUUCCCCAAGCACUCUCUGUAUAUCAAAAGAAGAAUUUGCAAUGAGUCAAACAACACUAUUACAGAUUAUGCGCACAAGGGUUCAUGACUUGAUGGCUCUUCCUCAACUCUAUAUGGCUUUUAAGUUUUUUCAUGUUAGACGAUCCCAGUUAUAACUUAUAACCACAAAGGGAGAACUAAGAAUGGAAGAAAAUUUAAAAGCUUAAUGUGUAUGUGAAGAGAGGACAUACCCCAAAGACAAACUUGUUGUGCAUUUUGCACAUGUGAUAACUGCAAUGCAUAAAGCAAAGGUAAUUAGCUUAAAUUAUAAGAUUUUAUGCCCAACCAGCAACUAAAUUAUCUUACGUUUUCUAAACUCUUUAAAGAUUUAUAUAAUAGUUUAGCAUUAUGGUCAAAACACAAGGCAUCCAACGCUCAAUGUUUGCAUUAUCUACAUAUUUGUUUCAAUUUAAUCUGUCUCAUUUCACAAACAAAUAAGGCUAUUAUGAUGAAACUGAAAUUACCUGGCACCCAUUUGUGUUUUGCCUACCACAAAAGAAUGAGAGCAAUAAUAUUAGUGAUCAAAGUCGUGAGUAGUGCAUCAAAUAUAAAGUUUGGCUCAUGAACAACAAAAAGCUCGAGGGGAACUGAUUCAAUAAAAUUUUCAUGGAGAGCAAUCCUGGCUCAGUAAAAUUUUCAUCCUCCAUAAACUGACACGCAUCCACUACCAUCAUUCUACAGAGAUCUAACAUAAUAGGUAUCCAGUGAGAAGACAAGAAAAGAAGAAAUACAUUAAAGAACCAAGAACACACAGAAGAUAUAUAAAAGCCAGUGCCAGUUAAGAACCAACAAAACUAAUCACUUGUUCAAAACAACAAGUAAAGGGUACUGACCGACCUUUACCACUUUGAAUCAUAAAAUCCUUGAUGACCCUGUGAAACUGACAUUCUUUGUAACCAAGAGGCGUUCCAACCAAACAAACAAAGAAGAUUAGAUUAAAUACCAUUUAAAUGGUACUUAAUCUAAAUUUAUAUAUUUAAAUAUAAAUUACAACAAAAACAUUGCAUUUAGAUAAAACUAAAAUUUUAAUGGUACCAUUUAAGUUUUCUUUACUAAAAUGUUAAAUACAAUAUCACAUCAAUUGUUUUGUAUAUAUACAGUAUACUAAAGAAACUAAACAAAAACAAAAUCUAAAACUCAAUUAACUAUUUCAAAAAUAUCAAUUGCCCAAAUUCGUUAUGUGAUUGCUUUCCAAGUUUUUUUUAUUUCAAAACAAUGCAGAAAAAUGCAAGGAAAUUCAUUUGUUCAGCGCAUGAAACAAAUUAUAGAAAAGAGACACAAACAUCCAAAGCUAAUAAUUAUUAAAUUUUACAAACUAAAAAGGCGGUGGGAAUAAUUCGCCAAAAGGUGCUCUCAGACAACGAAUCGAUGAUCUAGAUUCUACACACAUCCAUGACAUUUAUUUAAAGAGGCGAGAAAUGAGAGAUUUGAUAUUAAUGUCAUAAAGAUACUCAAACCUAAAGUUGGUCUAAUGUUAACAUAAAAACGACAUCAACUCCAUAAUAAGCAAAUAGAAGACUCUAUGUCAAGAUAGAAGCUCCCAAGCCACUUAGUGAGAGACUUUCUCCUCAUUCCUUUUUCUUGGCCAAACGAACAGAUCUCCUCAGUUCCUUGUUCUCAUCAGUAAUAGGCUUACCAUAAAUCUUCACUACAUGCUUGCCCUGCUCUGCCUUGCAAAGUUGUUCCUCUAGUGGUCUUCUCAUUUGCUCCGAUAAACUCAUCAAAGCGUAAGUUAUCUGAGAAUCAAGCUGGACCACGUCAUGGUAGCAGCUCAUACUCUCAAUACCUCUACCGUUCAUUCUCCUGUGAUGGUGACAAAAAAAAAUUAACCCAAAUGAAAAAGCAUAGACUGUUAGAAGGAAUAAGAACAAGAAUUAUGCUUAUUACUCGUUGUAAAUCCUUAAUCUCUCGAACUCCUCUGCAAGGAUUCAGAUUUUCGUCUCUCGAAUUCCCUCUCCAUUUUCAGCUGCAAGAAUUAAUAACAGAAUCUGAGGCAAGAAGAAGGAGAGGAGCAGAAGAGAGUAUAAAUUCACGCACCAGUGUUUCUCCCGUCUUUGUUCAGGGUUAUAUACACAAGAGAAAGUUCAAAUUGGUAUAGUGAUACAAAAAAAAAAAAAGCAACUGCAGCAAGACAGGUAGAGCAAAAAAGUGAUCUCUCAUAAAACCUGAUUUUGGUUUACAAGUCGAAGUUUCAUAUCUGAUUUACACAAGCACUAAUUCAACAAAAGAAAACCCUCUAUUUUUUCGUUUUACCUGCUAGUAGAGGGAACCGGAAUACUCGUAGCAACAUCCUCAGCUUUAUUCUUCUUCUGCAAAAUCAUGGUAGGUAGACUGGAAAGGGUAAACCUAACUGAACUAGCUAAUUUUAUGAGUUAAAAAACUUUACCUGUUUGCUUUCAACUUGGUCUGGUGGCAUUAUCUUAUUCUGGAAUAAUAGUCAAACAAAAUUUUUUCAAUAAUAGGAGAAGGAAGUCCCUGAAUGAAGAAGUUUCCUCACUAUUUGGUCCAUGACAAUGCGUUUGACAUUCCCGAGAUGACUUGUAAGUGCUUGCAGCUCAGUGAAGCUCGCAUCGUCGUCUCUACCAGUCAUCCUCCUGAUCAGGGAUCGUAAUCUCAUGACUUCUUUCCGCAGCUGCAAGCAAGAACAUAGAGGCAAGCAUAUACAUAGAAAUUCAUAUGAUGAUGAGAAAAAUUGUUGCCAAGGAAGUGAGAUAUACAUACAUACCACUGUUUCUUCAUUGUCUUGAUCCUGUAGACUUUGUUCAAAUCCGUAUCUGGAAAAAGGUUAAAGACGGUCUUAAGAUUAAAGUGGAUGAUACUAUUGGCUCAAAUUUACAUGAUCUCUGUUUCAAGCAAGCCCCGCAAUAACUAAUCCCAAUUAGGAGAGUUUACUCUAAAAUCAUCCGUGAUCAUGUUCUCGGAUUCCGAUUCCAGGAACAUGAGAUCUACCUGCUGCUGGAGAAUUCGCAGGAAUUGCAUGGCACUCUCGUCGUCUUCUUCAUGAUAUCUUUUCCCUUCAUCUUCAAUCUUAACCCUAUCUCUACCCCCAAUGUGGGCUUUUUAGCAAAGUACACACUUUUAUAAAAAUAAUUUGAAAAAUAGGUAGUUUUUUUAGAAAUUUGUGAAAUAGAUACUUUUUAUUUCUUUUGUGAAAUAGAAGUGGUGUGUAAUAGACUAAAAGACAAGAAAGAAGUCAAAUACCAUUUUACCCCUUGUCUUUUGUGAGUUAGCUUUUUGUGUGGGUUCAAAUCUUUUAUAUUAUUGGAUCAAAUUAUAUUAUAUCAUUACUUUUUUUUUUCUUAAUCUUUUUGGUUUUCUUUUUUUAAAAAGAAUCUUAAAAAAAAAAGAUGACUUGUAUAUAUUCUGCUAUCAAUUUCGUACACCAGCAUUUUAAACAUAGUUUUGUACACUAACUUGUACACCAAGUCAUUAAGUACAUCGAUUUGUCUUAUAUUUGUAAAUUGAAGUAAUUAUUGUUUAUAAUAUUAAUACAAACACGAUUGUAAUAUAAACCAAAGGUUAUACUAAAUAUAAUAGUGUACACCAUCAUGUACACCAAUGAAUAUGAUGGUGUAUACCAUUAAAUUGAAAUAAUGUUUGUACAUUUCUACGUAGUGUACACUAACAUUUGUACACUCCUCUGUACACCAAUCUCGUAAACUAUUGUGUAAAUAUUGUUUUAUACAUUAUCAUUUGACAAAAAUAGUUCUUUCUUUGUAUGUGGUGUACAAGUACAAAAUAGGUGGGUGUACGAUAUUGUAGACUACACACGAGAUGGUAUAUGGUGCGACAUACUAUCUCAUCAUUUUAUGUACACCAUAUUUUAUAUCAUCUCCGUACACCAUCGUAUUAUGUACGUGUACACCUCUAUCAAUUGUCGUUUGUAUAUCACCUUGUAUACUGUUUACAUAUUGUAUACCACUUUUACAUUACUAAUAUACAUUAGUUUUUAUAUUAUCACCGUACACUACAAUUUGUACACCAUUUUUUACUAUUGUGUACACCGACGGAUUGAGAUUAAAUUAAAAAAAUGUAAAAUAUAGCAAAAUUGAAAUUUUUAGAUUCACUUAAAAAUUUUAAAGAUUAAUAUGUUUAUGUAAUAAUUUUUUAUGAAGAAUUUUUAACAAAACAAAACAAAAUAAAAGUAUUUAAGUUUAAGUUAAAAGAAGAAAGAGAAAAAAUAAUAGUUUUGUCUUUAUCUUGCUACAUAACAAAACAACAAAAGAUAUAUAAGUCAUUUACUAAAAUCUCUAUUAGAGAGAAAGUUGUAUUAGAGAGGAAAGAGAAAAAUGUAUAUUCUUCUAAUUUCUAAAAAAAACUACCUACUUUGCAAAUUAUUUGUUAAAAAAGUGUCUACUUUACAUAAUUUCUCACUAUGUAGCACGUUAUGUAAAUGUCACUUCCUUUUUGCCUUUUAUUUUCUUUUAAAUUUGGCCCAAAUCCAAUUUUUUAACUCUUUGAGGCCCAAACACCUUUGCUGAAACCCUUCAGUUCGGUUCAAGAUAUUUGGGUUUCAGAAAUCUCUAUACUUCCUUUUUCAACCAACAAUCAGGCUUCUUAUGUAGUUUUCUCCACAGAAUAUGAGAUGAAGGAUAUAACAAUCUACGCUAAUGAUAUUAUUAUCAUUACAUUGAAUGUUUUGUGGAUUUUUGUGGGCUUAGAACCUAUAGAUUUUAGCGUAGAACCUCCUAGUAUUCAAAAAAAAAAAAAAAAAAAAUUUAACCAUCUAGAUAUUAGCUAUAAUAAUCAAACUACACUAAACCAAAUAGGUACGCUCUCUAAUAAAAACACUUCUUUAGUUCCGUUCAAGAGAGAUCUAAAAAAAUUUCAAAGUAAAAGAAUACAGUACUCGAAGCUGGAAAAGAACUUUGAAAACUGAAGAGUAGAGGAGAAGAACAAGACUGACGCUUGGAGGUGAAAAUGGAUCUGUGUUUUUGGACUAAAGAUGAGUAUAUUUUUUAGUUUGUCGGGUUCAUUUAGUUUUAAAAUCCGAAUGACGUAAGACGCCGUGUAAUAUAAUGUGCGUUUCAAGUCUACAACGAUGACAACAUCAUUUGCUAUCUCGGAUAACGGUAAAAUUGUGAUUCCUUUUUAGUGACUCAUUUUGACAUGGAUUAACUUCAAUAUGACUAAAAGAAUAAAAAUGUGGGCUUUCAAGGGAGACUCAUUAGCGAAGAGACCCAUGGAUGUAUUCAAAGAGUUUGUUAUCCCAUCCACAAACUGUGACGCAAGAGCAAUUUGAGCCAUAUCAUCAAUAGUUGCUACCUUGUUGUCUUUGAUAUACCUUCUCACGACACGACCAGUCUUGAAAAAAAAAAAAACGCAUAAGUUCAAAACUCAAUUAAAAACCAUUACAAAAAAGAAAAAGAAGAAAAAUUAAUUUCAUACCGUUGAGGCAAACCACUGGCAUUUGUGUACCCAUGGCGGUCAUCACUAAAAAAAUGAAUCGCAUUGAUUGAGUUAGUGGUAUGAGUAAAAUGGAAAGCCUUUGUUGUCCUCGUUCGGAAAGAUCUUUCCCGAGCAUUCUCAUUUAUUUGAAGAAUGAAGAAACACAAAGUAAAAGUUUCAGGAAAAUCAAAAGUAUGUCACAAGAAAACCAAAUGAAAAUCACAUGUAUGUAAAAGUUUCAGGAAAAUCACAAGUAUAUCGCAGGAAAAUCACACUAGAAAUCACAAAGUGUGUCAUAAUAAUUGAACAGAACCUGUUGCCCAUAAACCAAUCUUAACUUACAUGCUAGAUUCACAAAACUGGAUCUUAUUACUAAAUGAAUAAAAUAAAAUUUAUCAGGCAUGUGUUUCCAAUCCAUAGAUUUAUUCAUCAUACAUGUAAACAAAUUCAUAACAUGAAAUAUGUUCUCUCAAAAUUUUUAAAAAAACACCUUACGUUUGUCUAUACUCUAUAAAAAUCUGAGCUUUAAAAAACAAAAAUCUGAACUUUAGAAAACUAUAACAAACUAGAGCGGCGAGGAAUCUUUGCAAUCAACACCAUCAAAGCUAAAAUCAAGUAAAUCUAAACGAGAUUGAAUGUCAGAGAAGAUGGAAUCAAAGCAAAAUCAAGAGAAAUCGAGCUUUGAUGGCUCUGAUACCAUAUUACAGACUAAAGAGAUUAAGAUCAAUCGAGAAAAAUUUGUUGAAGAUAUUUUCUCAUUAUUCACAAGUAAACUUAACCAUCUAGCUAUUAGCUAUAAUAAUCAAACUACACUAAACCAAACAUGUACACUCUCUAAUUAAAACACUUCUUUAGUUCCGCUUAAGAGAGAAUCUAAAACAAUUUCAGAGUAAAAGAAAACAGUACUCGAAGCUGGAAAAGAUCCUUAAUAACUGAAGAUUAGAGGAGAAGAACAAGACUGACGCUUGGAGGUGAAAAUGGAUCUGUGUUUUUGGACCAAGGAUGAGUACAUUUUUUUGAACAUUAGAAUUGCCUUCAAGUACUCCUAGCUAUAUAUGCUUAUCGAAAGGUACGCAGAUAAAUGGAAGAAUGAAAGUAAGAAAAAAAAGAAAAAAAUGAAUAUUAAUAAUAUAUUAUUCCAAUUUGGAAAGUGUAGUCUUAUUUUCCCUUAAUAUAUUUAUUUUCCUGUAUGAAUAAAUAUAUCAAUUCACAAACCAGUAACUGAAGUUUUUCCCCUGAUUAUGAAUUAAGAAACUUUUGGAACCAAGUUCAACUUGAUAUAAAAGAAGAACAGUCGGUGAAAAAGAAAGCCACAAAAGAAAAGAAUAUUUAUAAGAUUUUUUUUUUCCCCAGGAGGAAAAUGUUCUAUGUAUUACCCUUUUGUCCCCACCCCCAAAUUACAUAUCCUUCUUUUUUUUUUUUUUUUUUUUUUGGUUUCACCUCUAUUCCAAUCCCUGCCCUAUUCAACAAAGAAACAAAAUAUAAAACCCCCCACCUAAUCUGACCCAAAAUUCCUACAGAAACAUGAGAAAAGGAAAAUUAAAAGCAAGAAAACUUGGCACCCUCUUGAUUUGCUGCAUUAAGUCAAAAGAGGCUAAUCUAUAAGGAGAGUUUUUAUCUGUUGUCUUCAAAUUGUGCUUUUUGGCCUCAAAGGUACUUUCCUGAUGACUUCCAGAUCCUGCUUCCUCCAAGUGCUAUCACUAAUACAGUGCAAUCGUCGUGAUACUUUCUUCUAUCUCCUUGCGGGAUAUCGAGAAGUUCAUGAAAAUCCAUUCCUGUUUUUAAAACAAUCAAUCUCCAAACCAUAUCGCACAGAUAUUCAGUUGUGUAUUAAAAAAACGAAGUUUUAUCUACCAGCUUUCUUGGCUGCACGGACUAAAAGUUCCUGUAUAACAUGUUGAGCAGGAUCUCCAUCUGGAAACUUCUCCAUGGCAAGAGCAACAACUUCCCCAUUGCUCAAGUAUUGGUACAAUCCAUCAGAUGAGAGAACCAUAAACUGAUCAUUCUCUGUUAGCCGGUAGUGACGAAGGGAAGGUGUGCAUGAUAUGUAUGGAUCCGUACCAAUGUAUUCGUUUCUAAACAUUUCCAGCAAAGCAUCGUUCAAUUUUGGCUGCAAAUUCACUUUCUUUAUGAGAAUUACGGAAUAAUGGAUAUUUCGAUUAUCAGGUGAAGAUAUUAUUAUUGCCUAACCUGCUUUAAGAAUCCCGCUCCAAACGCUCUGGUCACCUUAAGCCGUCCUUUCACCCUGUCAUUCACUAUGCAAUGGUUGUCAUCUGGGUGCUCGUUUUUUAUUCUUGUUACUUCCUGAGUUCAUCAAUGGAAAUUAUCAUCUAACAAGAACAUUGCGAGAAGCAAAUAUGAUCUAACCAAACAUUAGCAAAAGGAGCCUGAACUGAUCCUAAGUAUCUUACAAAUGCGGAUAAGAUGGGGUCAUGCAGAAGCAAUAAUCUCGUCAAGAGCACUCCAAAACUACUUAACAGAUUACACUGUAUAUUCCUAGAUAACCAGAGAUCAAGCAACUGCAAAAAAGAUAAAGGAGAGAGUUUCGCAAGGUCAAACUUACAUCCUCGAUGCUCGUGCUGUGAUCUGUUGUUAGCUGCAGAGCAACCAGUUUCGUUUGCGG
rnacentral:lncRNA from 1 species